GAAAUGCGAUAAGUAAUGUGAAUUGCAGAAUUCAGUGACUCAUCGAAACUUUGAACGCACAUUGCACCCGCCAGUAUUCUGGCGGGCAUGCCUGUUCGCGCGUCAUUUCAACCAUCAAGCCCCAGGCUUGUGUUGGGGACCUGCGGCUGCCGCAGGCCCUGAAAACCAGUGGCGGGCUCGCUGUCACACCGGGCGUAGUAGAUUUUAUCUCGCUCAGGGCGUGCCGCGGCUUCCGGCCGUUAAAAGCCGUUUUUACCCAAGGUUGACCUCGGAUCAGGUAGGAAUACCCGCUGAACUUAA
rnacentral:misc_RNA from 1 species